ensembl:lncRNA novel transcript, antisense to ELMO2
GAGGUACAGCGUAGUUUUGUCCUCCGCGAAGUCCCUCAGGCUCAGAGCACAGCCGUGUAAUUGUCUGCGUCUCUCCCGCGCUCAAUCAGGGGCUUGCUUUGGAACCCCGGUGCCUGCUAGUGUUCUGCAUACAGUGAGCAUCCAAAAAAUGUGUUAAGCAAGUGACUGGAGCCCAAUUCCUGCUGCCGCCAAGGAGUCAGGCCUGCUGGCCCUCUCCCCUUUGCCUCUCCUCUUUUACUAUUACAAAGCUGGCCCUUCAAAGCACAGUGCUCUCUGCAAUACAGAAGCCCUCGCUAUCUCUACAGUGGAGAAAAUGUGCGCCACGGGAAAAGGUCAUAGCAUAGAACAAUCUGAAGAGCACUGGUCUGCAUCCCACUUAGAAACCUCCAACUCCAAAUGUCAAUUUUCCUCCUGAGACAGCAUUUCUGGGCUGCUGCCUCCCGCUCCAGAGAGAUGUGCUUCUGGGAAAGUCAACUACACUGUGCAAGAGGUCUGUGAAAUGUGUCGGCACUUCCAUAAAAUAGAUGUAACUGAGGAUCUUCAGUCGGGCCCUCUUCUCCUGCUUAUUCCUUGGCAAAGAAUUUCUAAGAUCCUCCUCUAGCACCCUGGGCACUCAGGAAGUAAAAGCCACCUUUUUCUAGCCACUAGGGAAGAACAAGGGCUGGUGUUUCCCAGUCUGUCCGGAGAGUGACUCUUUACCCAACACAUGGAAGCUACCUGGAUGCUGAGUGAAGAUAAAUAGUGCCGUCUCCUUGGGUCGUUUAAUUCCAAGCAAGGCCCAUAUUGAUUUUGCCUCUCCCUGUACUAACCUGUUCGGUGAUGUACAGCUGAGGACCAUCUGCAUAACGGAGGGUAUAAUACUCUGGGUUUGGCAACGACCACCUAUGCAAGAGAAAAACAGUAUAUCCCACUUGGCCACUCUCUUGUUCAGAAGCUGCUCAUAAGUAAUUUUCAAAAGAGUUGCUCAAGGGAUUGGGUGGCCUAUUUGGAAUACAGUGGAAACAAAGCUUUAGGUUGUCAUGUUGAAAAAAUCAUGGCCUCAGCCUUUUGUAAAGAUGAGCACCACAAUAGGAGGUGUGCAGAACUGAGGAGGGGUCUCAGAUCCUACCUCAAUAGGGCAAUGCUAGACUUUAAGGAAAAAAUUAAGAAGUAUAAACGUCUUAGGGGUAUGGUUGUCAACUGUACUUCCUUCCCAAGACAAUGAUUCCCAAGACCCCCAUGCUGAGGACCUGCCUAACUGGAGAUCCUUCCCAGAACUCCCCUCAAGGUGUAGGAGUGCUCUUUCAGUCGGAGCUGCCACUGUUGAAAACGAGGUCCAUUUCAACCUACCCAUCACAAACUUCCUUGAUAAUGGAUGCCAGGGGCCGUUUCUGAAAGAGAGAGAGAGAAAGCCUUCAACAGCAGCAACAUCCUACUCAUGCCAAGGUUCUGACAAGAGGCCUGCCAAGCAGGGUCAAGCUGGGGCAUGAGAAUGAACUUCUUUCCUAACAGCUUUUGUUGAAGAGGAAGCCUCUCCCAAGCCAUGGUGACCGACCUUCCCUAGGGUGGGCCAGGCCCAAAGCUUAGCCUUCCUGUUGCUCGUUCUUACUCUUGAUGCCGGUGGUCCCCAUCCCUCAAGAUGUCCUCUGCCAUGCACUCCCCAGGUGCCUUUCCUUGAACCACUGCUUCUCACUUCAGGAGCAUACCUGGUCGAUUUCAAGGAGCUGGGCGUUAGCACCUGGCCACUCAAUGGCCACUUUGACAAUGUCUGACGGUGGUGGCAUCGUUCCCAAUGGGCUCUAAUUCUGCGAGACAAAAACACAGACACGGCUGCCUGGGGAGAAAGAAUCAGAAAGGUGGAAAAAGAGUAUUUCUUCAUUUUUCACUCUUGUUACAUGUUUUGAAGAGUUUGAAGACAGACACUGCAUAAAGUAACACAUGAAACUACCUGGUUUGAAUUUUUCUAGAUCAUACCACAACUUCUGCUUAGGAUUUUGUCUCUUGAGAUUAAAUCAGCAAGAAGAAAUGGGACAAACUAUCUAUCAUCCAUAGAUCAGCCAGUAGCAAGAUAUGCCAAUGUGGCACUUCAGUUUAAGAGUCAAGAAGACUCAGUGGUAGAGGAAUGUAUUUACUGCAAAUUCCUGUCUUGAGACCUUGGGAGGAGAGAAGCAUAUGCUCCGAGACAGAUAAGAAUAGACAGCCUUUUCUUGGUUGAGUGGUUAGCUGGAGGAGCCAGGCUACUUCUUUCUGCAGUCAUCCUAGGAAGAUCCCAGCAUCAGCAGGGCCCAGCUACAUGCUCUCUUGCUUCCUCCCCACUCAUCGAUGCCACCCCUUUCCCCUCAAAGGACACAAUGCAAAGCCUCCUCUGUGUGGGACGACAUCAGAAAAUGGGGAAGAUAACUGGGACAGGAAAUGCUAUUUUCGUCCCUACUGCCAAGGGCAAGGGCGGCUGACAACUCAAGUGGAGAGAGGUAAGGAUAUCCUCACACAAGGGCCCCUCUUAUAAGGACAAGGCUUUGCAAGUACCUCUGACCCCCUCCCCCACUUCUCUCCAAAAUAAAGGAAAAUAAAUCAUCCUGAGCAAGUCUGGAAGAUGGGCCCAUGUGACUGGUAUCCUAGGCAACUCUGAUAGCUUACUGGUAUUCCAAGCAGUAACUAAAGCAUUCUCUCUCCAAGGUCUGACGAAGGGAAGUCACUUGGCUGAUGGAUUAUUUCAAUGUAUAUUUACACUCCUUGCCUACAAGUUCAGGAGAGGCCCCUCUCUUAAUGAAAAAGACCUUUCUGCAUCCUCCAGGUUUAGCCAUUCACCCACAAUUCAUGCCUCGCUAAUGGGGACCACCUGCCUCUCCUGGCGUACAAAGCAUAGCUGUCGCGAGGCUAUUAUGCAUGUAUGCUAUCAAUUUUUCAGCCCAAACACAGAUGUCAGUUCUCACAGCCUGGUAAGUAUAAACCUCUUAGAUGAAAAGGAGUAAAAGUCCUGUCCCCCACAAGCCCAUCGGCCUCAGAAAGAGGGAUGCUUUCAUGACCAUUUCCUAGUCAGAAUGGGAUGCUUCAGAAGUCUACUGUCAUAAAAAGCCAGCAUUUCCAGAACAUGACAAUGUAAAGGAACUAGUUUUCCAAGUGCUUUCACUUAUUUUAUUGUGUCCUCCCAGCAGCCCCACGAAUUAGGCAGAACAGGAUUAUCACCUCCAUUUGAAGAUGGCACAACUAAAGCUCAGUGUUUUGUUAAGUGCCCAAGGUCACCCAGCUAGUAAGUCAUAACGGUUGACAGAACUUGGACUGGCUUCGGCCAAUGCUUUCCCCUUUUCCUUUGAGCCAGCCUCAACUUCUGUCCACUGCAAUUAAACGCAGCCUAAAGGGAUUGAAGUGGGUUGGCCUUAUGGCCCCCAAGGCUUCCAUAACUUCUGCAGCUCAUGGCAGAAUUUUUCACAUGUAAUUUUUAUGUGCCUAGACACACGACAAACCUCAGAAAAGAAACUGGCCCUAUCUGCAUAAUUUCUGGGGAAAAUGCUCUGCUCCAGUUACAGCAAGACAGGGAGUUCUUGUUCUAGGGGUGGCGCCAUCAAUCUCUGGAUGCUUAGAGAUGCAUCCUUAUCCUUAUCGGCAAAGCUGCUGCAAUUAGUAGACAGGACUGCACGGUUGUGAGGUCAAUUUUAAAAACUGAGAUAUAAUUUACAUACAAUAAAAUGCAGAGGGCUUAAGGGUACAUAUGUUUGUAUAUAUAAAUAUACAUCAUAUAAAUAUACACAUGCAUCUCCCUGUAACCAGCACUCAAAACGAGACACUGAACAUUUUCAUCACCCUAGAAAAUUACUUCAUACUUCCUCUUCCCGUCAAUCCUUCCAGUCCUUUAAAGGGGAAUUUCUGACUUAUCAUCAUCCAUGAGUUUUGCCUGGUUUUGUACUUCAUAUAAAUGGAACUAUACGAUAUGACUUUUUAGAUCAUUUGUUUAGUUUGGCUUCUUCUUAUUUUUAAAAUAAGCAGGCACAGAAGGUACAACAGAAAGAACACUGGGCUGGGAUAAUUGUCCCUGCUGAAACAAGUGACUGGAUUUAGAACCAAAGGCCUCAGGACCCAAUCCUAGGUCUUUCACAAUGUAUACAUGGCCCUUUAACCAAAUCUCAGUUUUCUUCUAUUGAAAGAUGUGAGUGUAGAACUAAAGCAUGUCUCAGGUGCCUUCUAAGUCUAAAAGUCCAUGAUUCUUAAGUGGAAUUUAAAAAAUCCAAGUGAGGAUGCCCAUUUUAAAGUCCUUACCAAAUGAAGUUACACCCUUCCUUAAUUUCGAUGGUGCUGCUAAGAAACAAACCCCAUGAUUUUUAACUCCUUUCUGAACGCCGUCUUUGGAGAUUAAGCUAAAGCUCAUUAGGUUAUAGCUAUUAUUUUCUCUUGACCCCAUAUGACAUAUCCUAGAUUGACUCUCUCUUUAUUAAAGUUAGCCCUGAAUGAUUCUCGGCUGUUCAAAAAUUCGUAUACAUUUUAAAGCAUGGAGAUUUGCAACCACCAAACUAUUUGAAAGAUAUUAAUAAGCCCCCAUUCUCAGUGACUCUGUCCUUCCCACAAAGCCCAGGCAGCCUCUCUGAACUGAAUGACACUCUCCACAACCCUGCCAUAGCUGAUGGGACUAAAGUGAAUACCCAACUUUAGCUGAACUAUUCCAGUUCUUUCUCUUGAAUUUAAAAGACAGAGACUGGCUGGGCGUGGUGGCUCAUGUCUAUAAUCGCAGCACUUUGGGAGGCCAAGGUGGGUGGAUCGCCUGAGGUCAGGAGUUUGAGACCACCCUGGCCAACAUGGCAAAACCCCGUCUCUAGUAAAAAUACAAAAAGUAGCCAGGCAUGAUGGUGGGCGCCUGUAAUCCCAACUACUCGGGAGACUGAGGCAGGGAGGACAGCUUGAACCCAGGAGGCGGAGGUUUCAGUGAGCACAGAUUGCACCAUUACGCUCCAGCCUGGGCGACGGAAUGAGACUCCAUCAUAAAUAAAUACACACAUACAUACAUACAAACAAAUAAAAGACACAGACUAAGGGAACUGGGUGAUAAUGACCCUGGAGAAGUAAGAUCAUAGUAAGCUUCAGAGCGAAUACCAUGGCAAGCCAAAGAUCCGUACGAGCCAAAGAUAUGGAGAAUAAAAAACCAAGAGCCUUUCAGAGGAAGUGAUUCUGCAGGAGGAAUCCAUAAAUAUCUAAAUGAACUGAGGCCAGAAAUCAGAAAGAGAUGGAAAAGCCAUUACCUGCUAACUUUCCAGAUUAUGUGGCUAUUACUUCCUAUGCUCGGGGUACCUGAAAGUCCACUGUAUCC